rnacentral:ncRNA from 1 species
AAAAAGUUUUGUAAAGUUUGAUUCUUGCUUUUUUGUUAAUUUUUAUUUUAAAUUAUAUGUAUAUAUUAAUAUUUAAUUAUUAUUUUUCAGUAAUUAAUUUUAUCUUACAAAUUUAUAUUUUUUUAGUAAUUAUAAUUAGGAUAGAUUAAUUUUGUGCCAGCAUUCGCGGUUACACAACUUAUUCAAGUUAAUUUUUUAGGUAAACAUUUAUUUUUAUUAUUAAAUUUAAAUUAUUAUAUUUAGGUGGAAUUUAUAUUUUAUAAUUAUUCUUUUCAUUUUAUUAUUGUGAAAUUUAAAUUUUAAACUAGGAUUAGAUACCCUAUUAUUUUUUAUAUAAAAUUUUUUCCUGAAUAUUAAUAGUUAUGUUCUUUAAACUCAAAGAAUUUGGCGGUAAUUUAUCUUUUUAGAGGAACCUGAUUUUUAAUUGAUAAACCACGAUAGGACCAACUUUAAAAUUUUACUUGUAUACCUCUAUAUAUGGAAAAUCUUAAUAGAGUUAUAAUUUUCUUUUUUUAUGUAAAUUAAUAUUAGGUCAAGGUGCAGUUUUAUUAAAGUUAAAUUGGGUUACUAAAAAUUUUAAUUUUUAAUUUUAUAAUUAAUUUUAUUUUUUGUUGUAUUAGGAUUUAAUAGUAAUUUUAAUUAAUUAGUUGUUUUGAAUUUAGCCCUAAAUUAUGUACAUAUCGCCCGUCACUCUCAAUAAUAUGGGAUAAGUCGUAACAAAGUAGUUGUACCGGAAGGUGUGGCUAGUAAGUUAAUA